rnacentral:rRNA from 1 species
GACGAACGCUGGCGGCGUGCUUAACACAUGCAAGUCGAACGGAAAGGCCCUGCUUUUGUGGGGUGCUCGAGUGGCGAACGGGUGAGUAACACGUGAGUAACCUGCCCUUGACUUUGGGAUAACUUCAGGAAACUGGGGCUAAUACCGGAUAGGAGCUCCUGCUGCAUGGUGGGGGUUGGAAAGUUUCGGCGGUUGGGGAUGGACUCGCGGCUUAUCAGCUUGUUGGUGGGGUAGUGGCUUACCAAGGCUUUGACGGGUAGCCGGCCUGAGAGGGUGACCGGCCACAUUGGGGCUGAGAGACUGCCCAGACUCCUACGGGAGGCAGCAGGGGGGAAUAUUGCACAAUGGGCGGAAGCCUGAUGCAGCAACGCCGCGGGCGGGAUGACGGCCUUCGGGUUGUAAACCGCUUUCGCCUGUGACGAAGCGUGAGUGACGGUAAUGGGUAAAGAAGCACCGGCUAACUACGUG